ACAUCGCCUUCUGAAAUGGGCCACAAAGUUGAUCGUUAUCACGAGAUUACCUGAAGAUAUCAUGGACUCUCUCCUGAUCAACUACUGGUCAUUCUCAAUGACCAACACGAUAUUUGUCAACAGGGAUAAUGAAGCGACUGGAAGGUGGGGAAUUUAUUCCCACUUGCCAUACACGCCAACUGGCCCGCGAACUGUGCUCCUUGCUGUCUGGAAAUUGGAUAAGGGUUUGCGUUACACCUCUACUAUAACUUUAUUUCCCGAAAAAUUUACUGACUUCCACGGGGCCAUUGUCAAUGUGACUUCUAUGACCUUUAAACCAAUUUGGUUUCCUGUGAAGGAAGCAGCGCCCAAUGGGACCAUCGUUGAAAAAAUGACUGGGAUGGAUUACAUACUCUUAGAGACUGUGGCAGAAAAGCUCAACUUCAGAUUUUACGUAGUUCCAAUAAAAUCUUGG